rnacentral:rRNA from 1 species
AGUGAACGCUGGCGGUAGGCCUAACACAUGCAAGUCGAACGGCAGCACAGUAAGAGCUUGCUCUUACGGGUGGCGAGUGGCGGACGGGUGAGGAAUACAUCGGAAUCUACUUUUUCGUGGGGGAUAACGUAGGGAAACUUACGCUAAUACCGCAUACGACCUACGGGUGAAAGCAGGGGAUCUUCGGACCUUGCGCGAUUGAAUGAGCCGAUGUCGGAUUAGCUAGUUGGCGGGGUAAAGGCCCACCAAGGCGACGAUCCGUAGCUGGUCUGAGAGGAUGAUCAGCCACACUGGAACUGAGACACGGUCCAGACUCCUACGGGAGGCAGCAGUGGGGAAUAUUGGACAAUGGGCGCAAGCCUGAUCCGGCCAUACCGCGUGGGUGAAGAAGGCCUUCGGGUUGUAAAGCCCUUUUGUUGGGAAAGAAAAGCAGCAGGUUAAUACCCCGCUGUCCUGACGGUACCCAAAGAAUAAGCACCGGCUAACUUCGUG